UACGUAGGGUGCAAGCGUUAAUCGGAAUUACUGGGCGUAAAGCGUGCGCAGGCGGUUUUGUAAGACAGGUGUGAAAUCCCCGGGCUUAACCUGGGAACUGCAUUUGUGACUGCAAGGCUGGAGUGCGGCAGAGGGGGAUGGAAUUCCGCGUGUAGCAGUGAAAUGCGUAGAUAUGCGGAGGAACACCGAUGGCGAAGGCAAGCCCCUGGGCCUGCACUGACGCUCAUGCACGAAAGCGUGGGGAGCAAACAGG
rnacentral:rRNA from 1 species